AGCAGCCGCGGUAAUUCCAGCUCCAAUAGCGUAUAUUAAAGUUGUUGCAGUUAAAAAGCUCGUAGUUGAACUUCGGGGUUUACUCAUUGGUCAGGCUUAAUUGUCUGUACUGGUGAGAUAAAUCUCUACCUUCUGAGGAACUUUCAUGCCAUUUAUUUGGUGUGAUUGGAAAUCAGGACUGUUACUUUGAAAAAAUUAGAGUGUUUAAAGCAGGCUAACGUCUGAAUACAUUAGCAUGGAAUAAUGAAAUAGGACGGAUUGAUUCUAUUUCGUUGGUUUCUAGGGUCACCGUAAUGAUUAAUAGGGAUAGUUGGGGGCAUUAGUAUUCAAUUGUCAGAGGUGAAAUUCUUGGAUUUAUUGAAGACUAACUACUGCGAAAGCAUUUGCCAAGGAUGUUUUCAUUAAUCAAGAACGAAAGUUAGGGGAUCGAAGACGAUCAGAUACCGUCGUAGUCUUAACCAUAAACUAUGCCGACUAGGGAUCGGACGCAGUUAAUUUUAUAAUGACGUGUUCGGCACCU
rnacentral:misc_RNA from 3 species